CCGAUUUUUCUCUCAUUCGUGCCUAGCUUUUCUCGAGAGUCCAAAACAUCCCGAACCCAAAACGUAUGAUCAUGACUGUAGGAGCUGGAUCAGCCUCGUAAUACCCGAGACUAUCAUUGGUUUGUCAAUUGGACUCCUUAACCUAGUUAUUCUCAACCAUCCGAUCUAAUCGGACAGUCCAAAUGACCAUAAAUUUAACCCACUUGCUAUAUAUAGUCCACCGCUAGUCCAAAAUCGGACAAACCCUAAUUUGUAGGAACCUACCCUAACAUCGCCAGCCACAUUCCCUCAGGAUCCACCUCCCCGGGAAACCACUGUAUCCAGCCAGCCAACCCAAUCUACUCCCUCUUCUCCACCGUUGGAUCGUGGAUGGAUGACCAUGAGAGCCUCCCAGUCCCUACGCUCGCUCGUACAGGCGCCUCUUGCCUUGGAGCUCAAUCCCUG
rnacentral:lncRNA from 1 species